rnacentral:rRNA from 1 species
CGGUGGAGCAUGUGUUUAAUUCGAAGCAACGCGCAGAACCUUACCAGGGUUUGACAUGGGAAUGCUUCAGCGAGAGAUCGCUGUUUCGUAGCAAUACGACAUUCUACACAGGUGCUGCAUGGCUGUCGUCAGCUCGUGUCGUGAGAUGUUGGGUUAAGUCCCGCAACGAGCGCAACCCUCGCCUUUAGUUGCCAGCAUUCAGUUGGGCACUCUAAAGGGACUGCCGGUGUCAAACCGGAGGAAGGUGGGAUGACGUCAAGUCCUCAUGGCCUUUAUGUCUAGGGCUACACACGUACUACAAUGGCAGGUACAAAGGGCAGCGACACAGCGAUGUGAUGCGAAUCCCGAAAAGCCUGUCUCAGUCCGGAUCGGAGUCUGCAACUCGACUCCGUGAAGUUGGAAUCGCUAGUAAUCGUGGAUCAGCAUGCCACGGUGAAUACGUUCCCGGGCCUU